rnacentral:rRNA from 1 species
AUUGAACGCUGGCGGCAGGCCUAACACAUGCAAGUCGAACGAGUGGCGGACGGGUGAGUAAUGUCUGGGAAACUGCCUGAUGGAGGGGGAUAACUACUGGAAACGGUAGCUAAUACCGCAUACCAUCAGAUGUGCCCAGGUGGGAUUAGCUAGUUGGUGGGGUAACGGCUCACCAAGGCGACGAUCCCUAGCUGGUCUGAGAGGAUGACCGGCCACACUGUAACUGAGAGACGGUCCCGACUCCUAAGGGAGGCAGCAGUGGGGAAUAUUGAGCAAUGGGCGAAAGCCUGAUGCAGCCAUGCCGCGUGUAUGAAGAAGGCCUUCGGGUUGUAAAGUACUUUCGGCGGGGAAGCGUUACCCGAAGAAGAAGCACCGGCUAACUCCGUGCCAGCAGCCGCGGUAAUUC